AGAGUUAGAAGAGUCUUUGCUGGCCUUUAGCUCUUUAGAGUUUCUGGUGUCCUCCCAUAUGGGUGCUCAGGAAAACACCCCAGAAGCCUUUGUAUCUGACAUGACAUGACAGCAGAAGCAGGCAGGGUAACUGAAGAAUGCACAGAAUAACUACAGUCUGGCUCAGAUAGAGAGGUACCUUCAGCAACUGGCUGCACUCUGGAUUGCCUCUCCUAACCUGUGAGAAUAUGAGCAAGAUCCUGCCAGACAUAAGGGAAGGGAGCUGCUGCAGUGACUUCUUUGGAAGAAGCAUUCAAAGAACAGUGCAGCUGCUACAAGCACCCAAUGGAAGAGAGACAAAUAACUUCAGCAUAAUUUGUAUCAUGACUAGGGAUAGCCUUGUGCAUCUUCCUGACCCUGCUCCACAUCAACUCGUAGCUAAUCCACUGCAAAGUUUUGAACAGUUAACUGCACCUACACCAAGAGUUGCCAUCACAGCAGGCACUCUGACACUGCUUCUCUGAAACACAUCCAUCAUGAGCCCAGCCGUGAAGGAGACAAGCUCAGGCAUGAGAAGAAUGGAGCACUGCACAUGCCACCAAGGGUGACACCAGUGUGCAACUACACAAAGCAGUCAACUCACUGUGGUUGAAACUCAAGAACCUGUGAUCCACUAAGUACUGAGAGAUCUAGAACAACUUUCUCUGUGCACUUGUGUUCACCUGGAACCAUUUGACUACCUGACAUAAACAUGCUUCUUCCAAGAACUGAAAGCCACCAGCAGGCCUGGCCAUUCUUUCACUUUACUGCCCAGUAUAUUUACUAGAGGUUUACACACAGGCUAUGCAGUAUAAUCCCAAGUACCCAGACUGUGGGCUAGUUUUCUCCAAUUUACUUUCACAAAUUACAGUGCCUAAAACAACAGUCUGAAAGGAAAGGGCAUUGUUUUUAGGAGCCUCCAAGUCAACAGCUGAAGUCUCUAUUCAUAAGUAUGGUAUCUGGACCUGUGCUUGGGCAGUGUUGUUCAGUCAUGUAAAAUGCUCUUAAACACACAAUAUUGAGUCUCUUUUAUGAGUGUGAAAACUUAAAAAGAAAAUGAACCUCAAACAAAGCACAUCUAUAAGACCACUGGCUGGAGAAAGGUAAUCUGGUUAAUGACAAGACUGAAGAAGUCAUCAUUAGUUAUUUAGAAGGAAAUGCAGUGGAGCAUGUAAACUUCACAGAGAAUACUUGGAGCCCAUUACAAUAUCAAUGAGCUAGAUUAAUGAUUGUAAAUGACCACCACUACAGAACUGGUCUGAAUACAGAACAGAAUGAAUGCACUAAGAGAAACCUGAAACAAGGCAUCCAACUGCCCCUUUGAAGGGUAU